rnacentral:misc_RNA from 1 species
GAUGAAGAACGCAGCGAAAUGCGAUACGUAAUGUGAAUUGCAAAUUCAGUGAAUCAUCGAGUCUUUGAACGCCCAUUGCGCCCCCUGGUAUUCCGGGGGGCAUGCCUGUCCGAGCGUCAUUGCUGCCCUCAAGCACGGCUUGUGUGUUGGGCCCCGUCCUCCGAUCCCGGGGGACGGGCCCGAAAGGCAGCGGCGGCACCGCGUCCGGUCCUCGAGCGUAUGGGGCUUUGUCACCCGCUCUGUAGGCCCGGCCGGCGCUUGCCGAUCAACCCAAAUUUUUAUCCAGGUUGACCUCGGAUCAGGUAGGGAUACCCGCUGAACUUAAGCAUAUCAAUAAGUGGAGGA